UCGGCUGGCCCUGGGGGGGAAGGAGGGGCGGGGGUUUGGGUGGGAAAGGGGCGGCAGCCGCGGGGAGCUCGAGGCCGCCGGUGUUCCCCGCAAGAAGCCCCCCUCGGCGAGGCGGCCCUUUCUUCCCGCCUGAGGGAGCGCGGCCGCCGUCCCCUCCGAGCCCCGCGUGCGCGGCCACACGUAGGCGGGCGGGGAGGGGGCCGCGGCUGCCGAGCCGCACGUAGCGGGGGGGGGGGGGGGGUGGGCGCGGCCUCGGCGGCGGGGACCGGCCCGUAGGGGCGAGCGGCUGCCGAGGCGGCUGGGGAAGAGCAGCGCUGGCGACGGAGAAAGCCCCGCGCCCUCAAUGGAUUUUAAAUUCUGGCUCCCGUACCGUGAUGUUCUCCAAUUCACCAUUAGCAUCAACUAAUCGAUCAAAAGUUCACUCCUUAAAGCUAGGCGCUUCAAGCUAUCAGCUCCUACAAUGGCACCAGCUUCCACAAUGCUUCAGGCACAAAAGCAUCUUUCCAUAUUUAUUAUAUUUCCCCAAAAGGUUGCUGGAAUCCAACCUUUAGCAGCCUUUAUAGAUGAGUAGGAAAUGAACGGCCAUCAGCCAAACAGCUGUUGUCUUUAACCACCACUGACCACCGCCGUCGUUGGUUAUAGGAACAGGACCAUUAGCAGAGCUGUUGCAUAUGAACUGGACAGGUUUUAGCAGCUGCAGGGGGAGAGCUGCACCUGCUGGGGUUUGGUUUGGCCUUUUUUUUUUUUCCUGUAAAGACAGGACAUUUUUAUUUAUCAUAUGGAUUCCUGUUUAGAGACAUAGGGCAGUGACUGUGUUCAUCCUGUACGUGACCCUGUCUUCAACAGAUUGUACUGAUUUUGAAAGAGAAUGCCAGUGCUCUUGGGAAACGGUUAUAAAGUACAUCCCCCUCCCCGCCAAUGGACUUAAGGAUUCAAAGGACGAGCAAGUUCAUCAUUACUUACAGGUCAAGCCAAGCCCUACUUGGUUACAGGAGUUCUCCCUUAAUUUAAAAGGAGUGGAGGAGCUUGGCUCUGGAGUGAUGCCGAGUUUGUAAAGCCUGAGUGUCUUUCUUCUGAUUUGGGGAUUUUAGGCAUGCAGUGAGUGUUGAGAUUUCUCAGAGAUGAUGUUUCAAGAACGCUAGAUGGAAAUUUUUUUUUUUUUUUUUGACAAGGCAGAUGGAGCUGCAUGUCAUGAUACUUACAUUAUGUAAGAUGACGUAAGAUGUGGUGAGGAUGAGGCUGAUGUGCCCAUAUGUUAACCUGUGCUAAGUCUUUCCUUGCAGAAAGUUUGGCUACAGUGUAAAGAAUGAAAAUGCAGAGGAAUAAAAACAAAAAAGCAA